rnacentral:sRNA from 1 species
CGGCAGCCCAGCACUCCGAUGGGAGCUUGCCUGAUUGUCAACCCAUCGGCCUGGACCCCAGAGCCCACCCAGCUGAGCGUGUGCAGAGGGCCCCGAGUGCGGGGCGACGCUCAGGCUGUUGCAGAGACCACCCUGGAGAUGCUGAUGAAGACAGGCCUUUCGUGCUGAGCCCGGCCUAUCUGCGCAGCCUGCUCAGGCGCUGUCCACGCCCCGAGGCCUGGGCUCAGGCCGAAGUUGCUCCACAGCACCCCCAGCUGACAGCCAGCGACUGGCAGAGCCCCCAGGCACGGGGGCCCUCUCUCUUCCAGAGAUCUCCAGUGUGACAGCCCAGGCGGCAGAGCCGAGGGUGAGUGGUGGGGGUUCUUCUGGAGCCCUUUGGGGGUAAGAAGGAGGGAGGCCGUGCCCUUGUUAGAACUUCCUGGUCUUCUCCUUAAGUUUGAUCACCCUGCUGAUGUGCUUCCCUCUCAAAGGCAGGGGUCCUGUUCUUCCUGAGUGCAUAGCCAGAUUCCCA